rnacentral:rRNA from 1 species
CUACGGGUGGCUGCAGUGAGGAAUAUUGCACAAUGGGGGGAACCCUGAUGCAGCAACGCCGCGUGGAGGAUGACGCAUUUCGGUGUGUAAACUCCUUUUAUAUGUCAAGAAAAUGACGGUAGCAUAUGAAUAAGCACCGGCUAACUCCGUGCCAGCAGCCGCGGUAAUACGGAGGGUGCAAGCGUUACUCGGAAUCACUGGGCGUAAAGGACGCGUAGGCGGGUUGGAAAGUCAGGUGUGAAAUCCUACAGCUUAACUGUGGAACUGCACUUGAAACUUCUAAUCUAGAGUAUGGGAGGGGGAGAUGGAAUUAGUGGUGUAGGGGUAAAAUGCGUAGAUAUCACUAGGAAUACCGAAAGCGAAGGCGAUCUCCUGGAACAUUACUGACGCUAAGGCGUGAAAGCGUGGGGAGCAAACAGGAUUAGAUACCCCGGUAGUC